rnacentral:rRNA from 1 species
AUUGAACGCUGGCGGCAGGCCUAACACAUGCAAGUCGAACGAGUGGCGGACGGGUGAGUAAUGUCUGGGAAACUGCCUGAUGGAGGGGGAUAACUACUGGAAACGGUAGCUAAUACCGCAUACCAUCAGAUGUGCCCAGAUGGGAUUAGCUAGUUGGUGGGGUAACGGCUCACCAAGGCGACGAUCCCUAGCUGGUCUGGGAGGAUGACCGGCCACGCUGGAAUUGGGACACGGUCCAGCCUCCUACGGAAGGCAGCGGUGGGGAAUAUUGCACAAUGGGCGCAAGCCUGAUGCAGCCAUGCCGCGUGUAUGAAGAAGUCCUUCGGGUUGUAAAGUGCUUUCAGCGGGGAGGCGUUACCCACAGAAGAAGCACCGGCUAACUCCGUGCCAGCCGCCGCGGUAAUUC